AUAAAUCUCCCCCAUAAUUUUUAGAUGACUGGAAAACCUCGAGAUCUACCAACAAUGCUCGUCUCUUCUUAUAAGAAUAAGGCUGGGUACACACUUUGUAUUUUGGUUAGUAUUGGAACCAACACAGGACUACAGCGGAAAGAUUACUGUGUUUUGGACCCAAUCCUGGUUUUGGCCAAACUGCUACAGGGCAAGAGGAAAAUCACAUAAUCCUAACCCCUGAGGCCUAAAGAGAAAGGAAUUCAUGUCCUCUAGGUGGAGAUUACAUGAAGUAAAAUAGGAUGCUUAGACAGCUCGAAGUCAACAAAGUUAGGAAUGCCGAGCCAAGAGGAAACUGACUCCCCCCGAAACAGGUUCGCACAAGUUAUGGUAAAUCUGUAAAAAAGACAUUCGCAGGCCUAUCAGACGGCAGGCUUUACAGAUACAAGGAAACAAUAGAACAUGUACAAGACAAAUGUGCGAUCAAGAGCAGAAAUCCCAUAAUCUGUCCGAAAUAUCUGCUCUACCGACAACGCCAAGUUAAAAGCACAUUUGUUCUUACAAAAAAAAAAAUCGCUAUUUGUGAAUUCCUCCCAUUUUAUAAUCACUUAAUCUUUUAUUUUUUUUUUAUUUUUUUUUUUUGUGUGUACCAGCAUAUCUCAAAAGGAUUCCAGGAUUCUUAAAAGAAGGCGUUUGGGCUAUUAUUGGGAUUUCCAGCUGUUGAGCUAUUUUGCCCACAGAAUGAGCUAUUUUUCUGUUCUUUUGAACUGUUCCUAGUUAGAAAUGUUUUGUCUUAUCCAAAAAGUUAUUACAUUUUUUGCCUUGACUUUUAAUUAUUUUUAAUUUAUAUAAAUAAUAUUAUAUAAGAAUAUUGGAUUUUCUAUGUUAAAAAGGGACAAGAUACAAGAAAAUAAAAUAGUA